GGGUAGUUUGACUGGGGCGGUCUCCUCCUAAAGAGUAACGGAGGAGCACGAAGGUUGGCUAAUCCUGGUCGGACAUCAGGAGGUUAGUGCAAUGGCAUAAGCCAGCUUGACUGCGAGCGUGACGGCGCGAGCAGGUGCGAAAGCAGGUCAUAGUGAUCCGGUGGUUCUGAAUGGAAGGGCCAUCGCUCAACGGAUAAAAGGUACUCCGGGGAUAACAGGCUGAUACCGCCCAAGAGUUCAUAUCGACGGCGGUGUUUGGCACCUCGAUGUCGGCUCAUCACAUCCUGGGGCUGAAGUAGGUCCCAAGGGUAUGGCUGUUCGCCAUUUAAAGUGGUACGCGAGCUGGGUUUAGAACGUCGUGAGACAGUUCGGUCCCUAUCUGCCGUGGGCGCUGGAGAACUGAGGGGGGCUGCUCCUAGUACGAGAGGACCGGAGUGGACGCAUCACUGGUGUUCGGGUUGUCAUGCCAAUGGCACUGCCCGGUAGCUAAAUGCGGAAGAGAUAAGUGCUGAAAGCAUCUAAGCACGAAACUUGCCCCGAGAUGAGUUCUCCCUGACUCCUUGAGAGUCCUGAAGGAACGUUGAAGACGACGACGUUGAUAGGCCGGGUGUGUAAGCGCAGCGAUGCGUUGAGCUAAC
rnacentral:rRNA from 1 species